UCUUACCAGAUCUCCGUUCUCCCUGAUUAGCAAUCGCGCACCGUCCUUUGUCUUCGACUUCCAUCCAUUCCCUGCUUUUACACCCUCCAUGACCAAGCCCCAGGCAGCACCUCCCUUCUGAGUUUUAUCUCAGAUGCGGGUGUGUUUCCCGACCCCGUAUUUCUGCAAGACUGCAGCCUUGAGCCGUUCUGCCCCUCUGUGGAGGAUCUCACCAAGCAAUGCCCGGGUGCCGGCCACACCCAGGAACGUUCGAGAGACCGUGCUGCUGCCAAGGCCCAGAGACCGUGACCGGGUGCCAGCCCGCCCCAGAAAACGUUUGCGCGAUAGUGUAGCAGCAGCGUUUCAGGGAUUAUGGCAAAUCACAACACGCGUCUGGCACCAGGCUUCACCCCCAGGGACAGUGUUCCAGCACCAGCUAAUGUGGUUUUUCUUUGGGGUCUGCCGAGGUGGCCACACGGACUCUACCAGAUGCCCUCCCAGCAGGGGAACCGCCUCUCCCGUGUGGCCUGAAGAUCCCCGGACUCCACUCUGCUCCUGGGGAUUCGUCCUUCCCACCAGGGCACCACCAGAUACAGCUUGCUGACUGCUGUUCUAGACGCUCCUCCAGAAGCAGCCUACAGUACUAACCCAUCUGAGCAGGAGUGACAUCAGUGGGGUAAGGAAGCUUCACAAUAACUGUAUGAGAUCAGUUAAGAAGAGGCAACGGCAGCCAUAAUUAGGUCUAUGCAACAUCACUACUGAGGUCCUUCUCCUUGCCGUCCUCCCCAGGGCUCCCUACACUCUGUCUCAGGUUCCGUCACCUUGGCAAGGAAAAGAGCUUCCCUCCAUAACUUCCAUCUUUUCUUCAGGACAUGCAGAUGGCUAUGUACAUGGAUCCAGAAAAUUCCAGGUCAGCUGAAGCCCUUCAAAGUAGCCCUGGUGGAACAAGCUAGGACAGCUCCAGUGGCUGUGCCACACCCCUCUGGGAGGCCCCCCUUAAGUGAGGCUCCCAAGCACACGUCUAGGACCCUGCCAGCAGAAAGCCAUUGCUCACAACAUCUCCAGCUCUGUAAUAAAUUCUUUAUCAUAACACCUUGCUGCUUUUCCCUGGAUCCAAUCUAGUCAGUGGACUCCAUCUCCACAGCCAACCUCUACCAAGUCCAAUCUGACCAGCAGCCGGCCUGAGGGCAGGGUGUCUAGCCCACUGGCGGCUGCCUCUUCAAAGAGCCCCUCAGCCAGCGGUUCCACAGGGUGGGGAACACACUACUCAUGUACCCAGGAUGAUUUUUGAGAGGAAGCUUGCAGCUUUAAAUAGCAUCACUGAAUCACACGGUGAGAAGGCCAUUUCCCUCUCAAUUAUUUUUCCGUCUUUCAGAUCAAGGAAGAGAAGCUCUGUUUGUUGUCGAUUUGUUUUUAUAACUCUUCAGCAUGUGCUAAUCUCUUUCUGACAUUUUUGGGGGGUUCUUUGUAUCUACUGCCUUUGUACAGUUAUUUUACUUAUGGCAAUUGGUGCUGGUGUCUAAUUUAUGGCAGUGAUGUUUUACUUUUUUUACUUUUAUUUUUUUAAGUCUAUUUAUUUAUUUGGAGAGAGAGAGAGUGUGUGUGUGGGCAGAGGAAGGGCAGGGAGAGAGAAUCCCAGGCAAGAUCAGCACUGCCAGCAUGGAGCCUGAAGCGAGGUUCGAACCCAUGAACUGUGAGAUCACGGCCUGAGCUGAAGUCAAAUUCGGGUGCUUAGAUGACGGAGCCACCCAGGCGCCCCAAAUGUAUCCAUUUUAAAUGAAUCUGUUCAAAGGCAAAUAAUAGGUGAAUAAUGACAGAGACUAGGUACUGUAUGGCAACAAUAAUGAGGAUGGGAAACAAAUCACUUAAAUUCAGCAACUGCUGCUGAGAGCCCAGGGGCUCCCCACAGGGGUCCCUAGCCUCCCUUCUCCACUUCAAUGAACGUAUCCACAGGCAACUCCAUCAGAGUGGUUAUCAAGACAGGAAGGUAACCUUGUGCUACCCCAGCCAGACGGACAUCCCCCUUCCUUCCCACAUGACAAAAGUCUCCAACCUCCUGAGCGUGUGCUGGGUCAGGAGGCUUUCUUGCUAAUCUGCUCUUCCAUCCACCAAAAUAGGGAGUAGAGUCCUGGGGAUCCCCUAGUACUGGAUCCUCCAGGAACCCUUCGUAGGUCAGUAGCACUGACCAUCAGCACAGAGCACGUGUGGGCAGGAAUGGCUGGGAGACCUUCCUGGGAGGCCUUCCCAGGGGGACACAGAAUCCAAAGCACCUCGAGAUCAUGACCCGAUCCAGUCAGACGCUUAACCAACCAAGCCACCCAGUCGCCCCUGUAUGUUGGAGAACUUUUUAUAGAGAGCUGUCACUAGGAGUCUGGCCAGAAGCUUUAGUGUUUCUAAAGUUUGGUCCUUCAAACUCCAUCAGAAUCACGUACUAAAAAUAUAGAUUUCCCUAUGGACUCAGGAGCUCUCAAUGGGGCCUAAGGGUCUAAACUUUUUAAUCAGAUAUUUACCAUCAGGAAAAUUUGAGAAACUAUACUGGCAAAAAGACCAGUUAUAAAGAAAGAUAUCUUGGGGUGCCUGGGUGGCUCAGUUGGUUAAGUGGCCAACUUCAGCUCAGGUCACGAUCUCAUGGUUUGUGAGUUUGAGCCCCAUGUCAGGCUCUAUGCUGACAGCUCAGAGCCUGGAGCCUGCUUUGGGUUCUGUGUCUCCCUCUCUCUCUGCCCUUCCCCUCUUUGCACUUUGUCUCUCUUUUCUCUCAAAAAUAAAUAAACAUUAAAAAAAAGAGAGAGAAAGAUACCUUGGGGUGCCUGGUGGCUCAGUCGGUUAAGUGAAUGACUCUUGACUUUGGCUCAGGUCAUGAUCUCCAGUUCAUGGGAUUGAGCCCCAUGUUAGGCUCUGCACUGACAGCACACAGACUGCUUGGGAUUCUCUCUCUCUCCUCUCUCUCUGACCCUCCCCUGCUUGUGCUCAU